rnacentral:rRNA from 1 species
UACGAAGGGGGCUAGCGUUGCUCGGAAUCACUGGGCGUAAAGGGUGCGUAGGCGGGUCUUUAAGUCAGGGGUGAAAUCCUGGAGCUCAACUCCAGAACUGCCUUUGAUACUGAGGAUCUUGAGUCCGGGAGAGGUGAGUGGAACUGCGAGUGUAGAGGUGAAAUUCGUAGAUAUUCGCAAGAACACCAGUGGCGAAGGCGGCUACCUGGACCGGUUCUGACGCUGAUGCGCGAAAGCGUGGGUAGCAAACAGG